UACAGAGGGUGCAAGCGUUAAUCGGAAUUACUGGGCGUAAAGGGUGUGUAGGUGGUUAAAGUAAGUCGGGUGUGAAAACCCUGGGCUCAACCUGGGAAAGUCGCUUGAUACUACUUAGCUAGAGUACUAUAGAGGACAGUGGAAUUUCCGGUGUAGCGGUGAAAUGCGUAGAUAUCGGAAGGAACACCAGUGGCGAAGGCGGGUCUCUGGACAGUUCCUGACGCUGAGGCACGAAGGUCAGGGGAGCAAACGGG
rnacentral:rRNA from 1 species